rnacentral:rRNA from 1 species
UGCAGUCGAGCGGAUGAAGGGAGCUUGCUCCUGGAUUCAGCGGCGGACGGGUGAGUAAUGCCUAGGAAUCUGCCUGGUAGUGGGGGAUAACGUCCGGAAACGGGCGCUAAUACCGCAUACGUCCUGAGGGAGAAAGUGGGGGAUCUUCGGACCUCACGCUAUCAGAUGAGCCUAGGUCGGAUUAGCUAGUUGGUGGGGUAAAGGCCUACCAAGGCGACGAUCCGUAACUGGUCUGAGAGGAUGAUCAGUCACACUGGAACUGAGACACGGUCCAGACUCCUACGGGAGGCAGCAGUGGGGAAUAUUGGACAAUGGGCGAAAGCCUGAUCCAGCCAUGCCGCGUGUGUGAAGAAGGUCUUCGGAUUGUAAAGCACUUUAAGUUGGGAGGAAGGGCAGUAAGUUAAUACCUUGCUGUUUUGACGUUACCAACAGAAUAAGCACCGGCUAACUUCGUGCCAGCAGCCGCGGUAAUACGAAGGGUGCAAGCGUUAAUCGGAAUUACUGGGCGUAAAGCGCGCGUAGGUGGUUCAGCAAGUUGGAUGUGAAAUCCCCGGGCUCAACCUGGGAACUGCAUCCAAAACUACUGAGCUAGAGUACGGUAGAGGGUGGUGGAAUUUCCUGUGUAGCGGUGAAAUGCGUAGAUAUAGGAAGGAACACCAGUGGCGAAGGCGACCACCUGGACUGAUACUGACACUGAGGUGCGAAAGCGUGGGGAGCAAACAGGAUUAG